rnacentral:tRNA from 1 species
GCCUUUGUGGUGUAGUGGUCAGCACGCUCGACGCGUAUUCCAGAGGUCCGUGGUUCGAAUCAAGGCGAGGGCA